GAACAAAUCAUUUGCGUCCGCACGAACUGGAGCUUACCAAUGACUCGGUUUAUAAUGGUGCGAACGAUAAUGCUUCGGGAGUCAGUGCAGUGAUUCUGCUGGCCAGGUAUUUCGCGGCAAUCAAUAAUAACAAUCGAACAAUUCUCUUUAUCGCUUUUACAGGUGAAGAAAACGGGUUGUUGGGAUCGUAUCAGUUUGCUACUCAGGUAGAUGCCAAUGCCGUGAAAGCUGUGUUGAACCUCGAGAUGCUGGGCCGGGGCAAGCAGCCCUUUAUUACCGGGCACGAAAAGACUGACCUUAUUACCU
rnacentral:misc_RNA from 1 species